UACGGAAGGCAGCAGUGGGGAAUAUUGCACAAUGGGCGCAAGCCUGAUGCAGCCAUGCCGCGUGUAUGAAAAAGGCCUUCGGGUUGUAAAGUACUUUCAGUCGUGAGGAAGGUGUUAAGGUUAAUAACCUUAGCAAUUGACGUUAGCGACAGAAGAAGCACCGGCUAACUCCGUGCCAGCAGCCGCGGUAAUACGGAGGGUGCGAGCGUUAAUCGGAAUUACUGGGCGUAAAGGGCACGCAGGCGGUUAAUUAAGUUGGAUGUGAAAUCCCCGGGCUUAACCUGGGAAUGGCAUUCAAGACUGGUUAGCUAGAGUCUUGUAGAGGGGGUAGAAUUCCAUGUGUAACGGUGAAAUGCGUAGAGAUGUGGAGGAAUACCGGUGGCGAAGGCGGCCCCUGGACAAAGACUGACGCUCAUGUGCGAAAGCGUGGGGAGCGAAAACAGGGAUUAGAUACCCGU
rnacentral:rRNA from 1 species